rnacentral:lncRNA from 1 species
GCACUGGGAGGAGGAAGUAAAGAGAUGGUGAGAGAGAAGAACAAGUCUUCCAUUUUAGGUUCUGACCAGUUCUGGAGAACUGAUAGCGGAAUUUUGGGUAGUUCGGAGAACCGGCAAAUACAAUCUCUGACUGGCCCCACCCCCAUCUAUUCUCUGCCUCCCGAGUCUCAACUGAUCGGCUGGGUCUUCUUUGGUUGCCCUGCACAGGAGAACGGAGCUGGAAAGCAGGUCAGUGGGGUGGGGAGGAAAUGGGGAUUUUGCAGUAUCCUUCCC